GACGAACGCUGGCGGCGUGCUUAACACAUGCAAGUCGAACGGUAAGGCCCUUCGGGGUACACGAGUGGCGAACGGGUGAGUAACACGUGGGUGAUCUGCCCUGCACUUCGGGAUAAGCCUGGGAAACUGGGUCUAAUACCGGAUAGGACCACUGCCUGCAUGGGUGGUGGGGGAAAGCUUUUGCGGUGUGGGAUGGGCCCGCGGCCUAUCAGCUUGUUGGUGGGGUGAUGGCCUACCAAGGCGACGACGGGUAGCCGGCCUGAGAGGGUGACCGGCCACACUGGGACUGAGAUACGGCCCAGACUCCUACGGGAGGCAGCAGUGGAGAAUAUUGCACAAUGGGCGCAAGCCUGAUGCAGCGACGCCGCGUGAGGGAUGACGGCCUUCGGGUUGUAAACCUCUUUCAGCUAUGACGAAGCGCAAGUGACGGUAGGUGCAGAAGAAGGACCGGCCAACUACGUGCCAGCCGCCGCGGUAA
rnacentral:rRNA from 1 species